CUUGAAAGAGAAAAUGGCUUCUAACAUCAUCCGUGUCUAUUUUUUCAUCGCAUUGCUAUGUAUUGCUUCCACUUUGACUCCAGGAGGAGCAAUUGACGCAACAACUUCAUGGACUUAUUGCAUUGGCCAAGGUCCAUGUCCAAGUGAUAAGGAUUGUACUAAAUAUUGUUUGGAAUCAACUUUUCUUCAUGGUGGCAAGUGCAUAGGAAAUCAAUGUUGUUGUAUUCGAUAAUUGUCAAACUGAAAGUUAAACUUUUUUUUUUUUUUUGGAUUUCAUUUUUGUUAUUCUCAUAAGGAAUCUUCUUGAAGAUAAUCUCCCAUUUGGAUAUGUUUUCAGAGAAUAUUGUCAAAAAAUAUAUAUGAGAACAUUAUUUUGUUUGAGAAUUUUAAAAUAAGAUCAAUGUUCAAAAAUUUCAAAUUA